rnacentral:rRNA from 1 species
GACGAACGCUGGCGGCGUGCUUAACACAUGCAAGUCGAACGGAAAGGCCCUGCUUGCAGGGUACUCGAGUGGCGAACGGGUGAGUAACACGUGGGUGAUCUGCCCUGCACUUCGGGAUAAGCCUGGGAAACUGGGUCUAAUACCGGAUAGGAGCCAUUUUUAGUGUGAUGGUUGGAAAGUUUUUUCGGUGUAGGAUGAGCUCGCGGCCUAUCAGCUUGUUGGUGGGGUAAUGGCCUACCAAGGCGGCGGCGGGUAGCCGGCCUGAGAGGGUGGACGGCCACAUUGGGACUGAGAUACGGCCCAGACUCCUACGGGAGGCAGCAGUGGGGAAUAUUGCACAAUGGGCGCAAGCCUGAUGCAGCGACGCCGCGUGGGGGAUGACGGCCUUCGGGUUGUAAACUCCUUUCGCUAGGGACGAAGCUUUUGUGACGGUACCUAGAUAAGAAGCACCGGCUAACUACGUG